UUAUUUUUAUUUGUUUUUUGCUCAGACUGCAUUGAAAACCGGAGUUUGGGGGCCUCUGGCAAGCACUCGCCGGCGAAACGCCGGCAUAAGGUGACCUCAAGGCCUGCCAAAGCAACAAAGGUAAGAUAUACAAAGGGUGAAGAGGGCGGGGCCGGGGCCGCGCACUGGCUCGUGGCCAGUUCUCUUUAAUGAUCCUUCCGCAGGUUCACCUACGGAAA
rnacentral:misc_RNA from 1 species